rnacentral:rRNA from 1 species
GUAGUCUCGCACAGAUGCAUAUCAAUAAGCGGAGGAAAAGAAACUAACAAGGAUUCCCCUAGUAACGGCGAGUGAAGCGGGAAGAGCUCAAAUUUGAAAUCUUAAAGGGUUUCCCUUUACGAAUUGUAGUUUAAAGAAGUGUUUUCUGUUGAGGUUUUGGUAAGAGUUCUUUGGAAUAGGACAUCAUAGAGGGUGAGAAUCCCGUAUUUGACCUUUACUUUCAACUUUGUGAUACACUUUCAAAGAGUCGGAUUGUUUGGGAAUGCAGUCCAAAAUGGGUGGUAAAUUUCAUCUAAAGCUAAAUAUUGGCGAGAGACCGAUAGCGAACAAGUACCGUGAGGGAAAGAUGAAAAGAACUUUGAAAAGAGAGUUAAACAGUACGUGAAAUUGUCAAAAGGGAAGCGUUUGACACCAGUGUUGUUUUUCUGAAAAUCAAUUAAAGAACUGCUUAUGCUAAGUUGUUUAGACUUUAUCAGCUAAUCUGCUUAGUUUUGAGCUUUUCUUUAAUGCACUUUUCAGUUAACAAGUCAACAUCAAUUUCUUUUGCUGUAAAAAAGCUUGAGGAAGGUGGCUUGAGAUUCGUCUUAAGUGUUUAUAGCCUCUUGCCUAUGCAGUCGGAGAGAUUGAGGCCUGCAGCGUAGAUCCUUCGGGGCUAAAUGCAUUUGUGCUAAGUUAUAGCAUUUUAUAGACAACUUGUUGACUAUGAUUUGUCUUGUAGCUUACUCGCUUAUGUUAUUUUACCUACGCUUAGGAUGUUGACGCAUGAGAUAUACGC